rnacentral:tRNA from 1 species
GGGGUUGUAGCUCAGUGGUAGGGCAAAGGUCCAGCGGGCACGAGGCUCUGGGUUCCACCCCCAGCAGCCCCA